ncrna:unclassified sequences dfrA-dnaX RNA
ACACCAUAUGGUAAAACUAUAAUAAUUUCAACAUAAUAACCAAAAUUUAGCUAUAAUACAGGAAUUAUGUUAUAAU